rnacentral:lncRNA from 1 species
AGUCCAGUGCCAAGGGUCAAGACAAUGCUUACUACACUUCAUGCAAAGCUGACUAUGGGCCCUAAUUACUUGACCAAAAAUAUGGAGACAGCUACCCACCAGAAAGCCCACAACUCUAUCAAUUCAACACCUUCUUUUACAAACAUGUUCAGUAGUGGUACUAAAGUUGACAAUGUGCGGCUAAAGCAGAGGUACUUUUUGCCAACUAUGUAUGAUGGCUGAUCACUUUAUCUUUGAACUAUUUAUGAUGGCUGAUCACUUUAACUUUGAACUAUAUAUGAUGAAUAAAUAUUUGACCCCCCCCCCCCCUUUAUCUUCUAUUUUACUAAGUAAAAAUGGCUAUGCAGGUGCUUGAAGGUAUGAAAUCAUUGGGGGUUUUUUUAACAAAAAAGGAAGAUAUGCAGUUUAAACACACACGAAAAAACAAUUGCGUACGUCGAUAAAAAAUCUCCAGUUAUGAGGCCCAAACUCCAGCUGAAAAUUUCCAAAUCUCCAGUUGUGGCUUGACAACUCUGUCACAUGUAUGC